rnacentral:rRNA from 1 species
GACGGAGGAUGCAAGUGUUAUCCGGAAUCACUGGGCGUAAAGCGUCUGUAGGUGGUUUAAAAAGUCCACUGUUAAAAAUUGAAGCUUAACUUCAAAGAUGCCGUGGAAACUUUCAAACUAGAGUAUGGUAGGGGUAGAGGGAAUUUCCAGUGGAGCGGUGAAAUGCGUAGAGAUCGGAAAGAACACCAACGGCGAAAGCACUCUGCUGGGCCGACACUGACACUGAGAGACGAAAGCUAGGGGAGCGAAUGGG